AUUGAACGCUGGCGGCAGGCUUAACACAUGCAAGUCGAGCGGGGUGAUGGUGCUUGCACUAUCACUUAGCGGCGGACGGGUGAGUAAUGCUUAGGAAUCUGCCUAUUAGUGGGGGACAACAUCUCGAAAGGGAUGCUAAUACCGCAUACGUCCUACGGGAGAAAGCAGGGGAUUACUUGUGACCUUGCGCUAAUAGAUGAGCCUAAGUCGGAUUAGCUAGUUGGUGGGGUAAAGGCCUACCAAGGCGACGAUCUGUAGCGGGUCUGAGAGGAUGAUCCGCCACUCUGGGACUGAGACACAGCCCAGACUCCUACGGGAGGCAGCAGUGGGGAAUAUUGGACAAUGGGGGGAGCCCUGAUCCAGCCAUGCCGCGUGUGUGAAGAAGGCCUUAUGGUUGUAAAGCACUUUAAGCGAGGAGGAGGCUCUUUUGGUUAAUACCCAAGAUGAGUGGACGUUACUCGCAGAAUAAGCACCGGCUAACUCUGUGCCAGCCGCCGCCGUAA
rnacentral:rRNA from 1 species